GUGGCACAGUGGUUAAGUGCUUGGCUGUUAACCAAAAGGUCGUGGUUCGAACCCACC
rnacentral:tRNA from 1 species